GACGAACGCUGGCUGCGUGCUUAACACAUGCAAGUCGAACGCUGAAGCCUGGUGCUCGCACCGGGUGGAUGAGUGGCGAACGGGUGAGUAACACGUGAGUAACCUGCCCCUGACUUCGGGAUAAGCCCGGGAAACUGGGUCUAAUACCGGAUACGACUGCCGGACGCAUGUCUGGUGGUGGAAAGUUUUUUCGGUUGGGGAUGGGCUCGCGGCCUAUCAGUUUGUUGGUGAGGUAAUGGCUCACCAAGACGACGACGGGUAGCCGGCCUGAGAGGGCGACCGGCCACACUGGGACUGAGACACGGCCCAGACUCCUACGGGAGGCAGCAGUGGGGAAUAUUGCACAAUGGGGGAAACCCUGAUGCAGCGACGCAGCGUGCGGGAUGACGGCCUUCGGGUUGUAAACCGCUUUCAGCAGGGAAGAAGCGCAAGUGACGGUACCUGCAGAAGAAGUACCGGCUAACUACGUGCCAGCAGCCGCGGUAAUACGUAGGGUACGAGCGUUGUCCGGAAUUAUUGGGCGUAAAGAGCUCGUAGGUGGUUGGUCACGUCUGCUGUGGAAACGCAACGCUUAACGUUGCGCGUGCAGUGGGUACGGGCUGACUAGAGUGCAGUAGGGGAGUCUGGAAUUCCUGGUGUAGCGGUGAAAUGCGCAGAUAUCAGGAGGAACACCGGUGGCGAAGGCGGGACUCUGGGCUGUAACUGACACUGAGGAGCGAAAGCAUGGGGAGCGAACAGGAUUAGAUACCCUGGUAGUCCAUGCCGUAAACGUUGGGCACUAGGUGUGGGGGGCAUUCCACGUCCUCCGCGCCGUAGCUAACGCAUUAGGUGCCCCGCCUGGGGAGUACGGUCGCAAGGCUAAAACUCAAAGGAAUUGACGGGGGCCCGCACAAGCGGCGGAGCAUGCGGAUUAAUUCGAUGCAACGCGAAGAACCUUACCAAGGCUUGACAUACACCGGACCGUCCUGGAAACAGGUCUUCUUCUUUGAAGCUGGUGUACAGGUGGUGCAUGGUUGUCGUCAGCUCGUGUCGUGAGAUGUUGGGUUAAGUCCCGCAACGAGCGCAACCCUCGUUCUAUGUUGCCAGCACGUGAUGGUGGGAACUCAUAGGAGACUGCCGGGGUCAACUCGGAGGAAGGUGGGGAUGACGUCAAAUCAUCAUGCCCUUUAUGUCUUGGGCUUCACGCAUGCUACAAUGGCUGGUACAGAGAGAGGCGAACCCGUGAGGGCAAGCGAAUCCCUUAAAGCCAGUCUCAGUUCGGAUCGUAGUCUGCAAUUCGACUACGUGAAGUCGGAGUCGCUAGUAAUCGCAGAUCAGCAACGCUGCGGUGAAUACGUUCCCGGGCCUUGUACACACCGCCCGUCAAGUCACGAAAGUCGGUAACACCCGAAGCCGGUGGCCUAACCCCUUGUGGGAGGGGGCCGUCUAAGGUGGGACUGGUGAUUGGGACUAAGUCGUAACAAGGUAGCCGUA
rnacentral:rRNA from 1 species